rnacentral:ncRNA from 1 species
AAUUACUCUGGAGAGACCAAAAAACGGCGCCGAAGGUGUACCCCGUCCGAACGGACGGCUAUCUCUCAGGCAAAGAGGACAGAGCGG